rnacentral:rRNA from 1 species
AUUGAACGCUGGCGGCAGGCCUAACACAUGCAAGUCGAGCGGAUGAAGGGAGCUUGCUCCUGGAUUCAGCGGCGGGCGGGUGAGUAAUGCCUAGGAAUCUGCCUGGUAGUGGGGGAUAACGUCCGGAAACGGGCGCUAAUACCGCAUACGUCCUGAGGGAGAAAGUGGGGGAUCUUCGGACCUCACGCUAUCAGAUGAGCCUAGGUCGGAUUAGCUAGUUGGUGGGGUAAAGGCCUACCAAGGCGACGAUCCGUAACUGGUCUGAGAGGAUGAUCAGUCACACUGGAACUGAGACACGGUCCAGACUCCUACGGGAGGCAGCAGUGGGGAAUAUUGGACAAUGGGCGAAAGCCUGAUCCAGCCAUGCCGCGUGUGUGAAGAAGGUCUUCGGAUUGUAAGGCACUUUAAGUUGGGAGGAAGGGCAGUAAGUUAAUACCUUGCUGUUUUGACGUUACCAACAGAAUAAGCACCGGCUAACUUCGUG